GGGCCCGUGGCGGAAUUGGCAGACGCGGCGGACUUAAAAUCCGCUGAGGGCAACCUCAUCUGGGUUCGAGUCCCAGCGGGCCCA
rnacentral:tRNA from 2 species